rnacentral:rRNA from 1 species
UACGAAGGGGACUAGCGUUGUUCGGAAUCACUGGGCGUAAAGCGCGUGUAGGCGGUUGCCCAAGUCGGGUGUGAAAGCCUUGAGCUCAACUCAAGAAAUGCACUCGGUACUGGGUGACUAGAGGACCGGAGAGGAUAGUGGAAUUCCCAGUGUAGUGGUGAAAUACGUAGAGAUUCGGGAAGAACACCAGUGGCGAAGGCAGCUCGCUGGGACGGUACUGACGCUGAGACGCGAAAGCGUGGGGAGCGAACAGG